UCAAAUCCACCGCCCCUAGAAUCCCUUUGUCUCAACUCUCUCUAGACACUCUGAAACCCUAGCCCUCUCCCUCAAGUUUCCACCAUGUUUCACCGGAAUCCAUGGUAUCCCCAAGCCCUGAGUGGCUUGUACUCACCUCUACGUGCUUUUGUACACCUGCUACUAGAAGAUUCAAGGUCUGACAUUGAAGGUUUUUGCUCAUUUCAUCGCCGAUUCAAGUUUCACGGCAAUCUCUGACAUGUCCUUGUCCUAUAAGCCUAUCUAUGGCUCACAUGGCUCAGAGCAUACCCUUUUCCAGGCCUUUCUCACUUCUAGGGUUCUUCUGAAACCCUAGCCCUUCAAGGUUUUCUUAUAUUUCUCUAGAUCCGCUCUAGAUCCAUGUUUGUUAUAAGGUUUCAAAACGAUUUCUUAAAUCCCUUUCAAAAGUCUGGUUUCAAAACUAUUCAUCUUCUCCGAUUUAGGGUUUCUUUGAUUUUGCUCGUUUUACUGUAAUUGUAUGUGGUAUUCUUACUGUAUUCAUCUUACUGUGACCCAUGUUUGUUUCUACUUUGACUCAUAUGUGUUUUCAUCUACUACGUUUUCUCCUAAUGUUUCCAUCUAUUUUAUUUUACUGUGUUUUCCCUCAGCAUGUUUUCACUGAACAAUUAAGUUCCUUUGGGCUUUCUAUGUUCGCUCUUGCUUGAUUUGAUCAUUUUCGUCCCUACACUAGACUAAUGACGAAA
rnacentral:lncRNA from 1 species